GUAAGAGUUAGGGUUAGGGCUAUCGAUUAGCACUACGGUAGCAUUUUUCGACAAGGCAGCAUAUAUCGACAGAACACCGGCAAGUGGCUCCAGCUGCACCUGUCUGCAGAACGGCAGCUUCGCGGGCAGGUAUACAAUGAGUGCUUCCAAACCCAGAGACAGCAUUCUGGCAGCGGCAGGCCUGACAGACACGCUAACUAGCUGAAGCUGGGUACACAGAAAUUACCCUCCAGGUCUCAGAGGGGAAUGGCGGCUUGGCUUUUGCACAGAG